GACGAACGCUGGCGGCGUGCUUAACACAUGCAAGUCGUACGGUAAGGCCCUUUCGGGGGUACACGAGUGGCGAACGGGUGAGUAACACGUGAGUAACCUGCCCACAACUUUGGGAUAACGCUAGGAAACUGGUGCUAAUACUGGAUAUGUGCUCCUGCUGCAUGGUGGGGGUUGGAAAGCUCCGGCGGUUGUGGAUGGACUCGCGGCCUAUCAGCUUGUUGGUGGGGUAGUGGCCUACCAAGGCGGCGACGGGUAGCCGGCCUGAGAGGGUGACCGGCCACAUUGGGACUGAGAGACGGCCCAGACUCCUACGGGAGGCAGCAGUGGGGAAGAUUGCACAAGGGGCGCAAGCCGGAUGCAGCAACGCCGCGUGCGGGAUGACGGCCUUCGGGUUGUAAACCGCUUUCAGCAGGGACGAAGCUUUUUGUGACGGUACCUGCAGAAGAAGCACCGGCUAACUACGUG
rnacentral:rRNA from 1 species